GCCUCUUCCAAAAUUGGCGCGCUUUAAGAACGUCGAAAAUCUUCCCCAGAUUUAUUUGCGGAACUCUGGCCCAGUUGACUUCACAGAGGCGGCGUCGAGCCAUGCUCGAGAGACUGCGAGAAAUUGCGUCAGGCAGUCAGACGGAGAGAACGAGAUGGUCUGCGACGCUACUCCCCGAGAAAAGAAGGCAGAAAAAUUGAGGUUCAACGCAAAAAAGGAAAGACACACAGAGAAGAAGGGAGCGGAAGAAGAGGGAGGAAACAGAACACAGAGACGGAGUCUACGAGAAGAAAGGCAGGACGGAAGGGGAGAUAAGAGAGAGAUAGAAGAAGGAGGAACUACGGUAAAAGAAGAAAGCCGAGAGGAGAAGAAGAAAGGAAAAGAGAAGAAAAAAACAGACAGGUCAAAACGGAGAUAAGGCUAAAUGUACAGAUGGGAGAGAGACAGAGAGAAAAGGUCGAUGUAGAGAGAGAAUGACACUGCGAAAGAGAGAGAACGAGGUUGGAAAAGGCGCGCUGAGGAAGUCGUGCCAAAUGCACCGUUUCCUCGCGACCAACGCAGCCCCGUGAACAGUUAUCCUGUCUCAACGACACAAAAUAUUCUAUUUAUUCAUCAAUAUUUACCUUGUUACACAUCCAUCCCAACAGCUGCUCCUUUUCCUU
rnacentral:lncRNA from 1 species